GGGUUGUGAGGUUAAGCGACUAAGCGUACACGGUGGAUGCCCUGGCAGUCAGAGGCGAUGAAGGGCGUGCUAAUCUGCGAUAAGCGCCGGUAAGGUGAUAUGAACCGUUAUAACCGGCGAUACCCGAAUGGGGAAACCCAGUGUGACUCGUCACACUAUCAUUAACUGAAUCCAUAGGUUAAUGAGGCGAACCGGGGGAACUGAAACAUCUAAGUACCCCGAGGAAAAGAAAUCAACCGAGAUUCCCCCAGUAGCGGCGAGCGAACGGGGAGGAGCCCAGAGCCUGAAUCAGCAUGUGUGUUAGUGGAAGCGUCUGGAAAGACGCGCGAUACAGGGUGACAGCCCCGUACACAAAAGCGUAUGUGCUGUGAGCUCGAUGAGUAGGGCGGGACACGUGGUAUCCUGUCUGAAUAUGGGGGGACCAUCCUCCAAGGCUAAAUACUCCUGACUGACCGAUAGUGAACCAGUACCGUGAGGGAAAGGCGAAAAGAACCCCGGCGAGGGGAGUGAAAAAGAACCUGAAACCGUGUACGUACAAGCAGUGGGAGCACAGGUUUACCUGUGUGACUGCGUACCUUUUGUAUAAUGGGUCAGCGACUUAUAUUCUGUAGCAAGGUUAACCGAAUAGGGGAGCCGGAGGGAAACCGAGUCUUAAUUGGGCGUUAAGUUGCAGGGUAUAGACCCGAAACCCGGUGAUCUAGCCAUGGGCAGGUUGAAGGUUGGGUAACACUAACUGGAGGACCGAACCGACUAAUGUUGAAAAAUUAGCGGAUGACCUGUGGCUGGGGGUGAAAGGCCAAUCAAACCGGGAGAUAGCUGGUUCUCCCCGAAAGCUAUUUAGGUAGCGCCUCGUGAAUUCAUCUCCGGGGGUAGAGCACUGUUUCGGCUAGGGGGUCAUCCCG
rnacentral:rRNA from 2 species